rnacentral:rRNA from 1 species
AGUGAACGCUGGCGGUAGGCCUAACACAUGCAAGUCGAACGGCAGCACAGUAAGAGCUUGCUCUUACGGGUGGCGAGUGGCGGACGGGUGAGGAAUACAUCGGAAUCUACUUUUUCGUGGGGGAUAACGUAGGGAAACUUACGCUAAUACCGCAUACGACCUACGGGUGAAAGCAGGGGAUCUUCGGACCUUGCGCGAUUGAAUGAGCCGAUGUCGGAUUAGCUAGUUGGCGGGGUAAAGGCCCACCAAGGCGACGAUCCGUAGCUGGUCUGAGAGGAUGAUCAGCCACACUGGAACUGAGACACGGUCCAGACUCCUACGGGAGGCAGCAGUGGGGAAUAUUGGACAAGGGGCGAAAGCCUGAUCCAGCCAUACCGCGUGGGUGAAGAAGGCCUUCGGGUUGUAAAGCCCUUUUGUUGGGAAAGAAAAGCAGCAGGUUAAUACCCCGCUGUUCUGACGGUACCCAAAGAAUAAGCACCGGCUAACUUCGU